rnacentral:tRNA from 1 species
ACGCCGUUGGUGAAAUGGUUAUCAUGCUUGCCUUCCAUCAGCAAGCGGCGGGGGUUCGAUUCCCUCACGGCGUA